rnacentral:rRNA from 1 species
UACAGAGGAGCCAAGCGUUGUCCGGAUUGACUGGGCGUAAAGCGCACGCAGGCGGCACCGCGCGUGGGGUGUGAAACUCUGGCCGCUUAACGGCCAGGCGCCAUCCCAUACGGCGGAGCUGGAGUGGAUGCAGAGGUCGGUGGAAUUGCCGGUGUAGUGGUGAAAUGCGUAGAGAUCGGCAGGAACACCCAGGGGGAAACC